rnacentral:rRNA from 1 species
AUUGAACGCUGGCGGAAUGCUUUACACAUGCAAGUCGAACGGCAGCACGGACUUCGGUCUGGUGGCGAGUGGCGAACGGGUGAGUAAUGUAUCGGAACGUGCCCAGUCGUGGGGGAUAACGUAGUGAAAAUUACGCUAAUACCGCAUACGAGCUAUGGAUGAAAGCGGGGGAUCGCAAGACCUCGCGCGAUUGGAGCGGCCGAUAUCAGAUUAGGUAGUUGGUGGGGUAAAGGCCCACCAAGCCAACGAUCUGUAGCUGGUCUGAGAGGACGACCAGCCACACUGGAACUGAGACACGGUCCAGACUCCUACGGGAGGCAGCAGUGGGGAAUUUUGGACAAUGGGCGAAAGCCUGAUCCAGCCAUUCCGCGUGCAGGAUGAAGGCCCUCGGGCUGUAAACUGCUUUUGUACAGAACGAAAAGGUUUCUACUAAUACUAGGAGCUCAUGACGGUACUGUAAGAAUAAGCACCGGCUAACUACGUGCCAGCAGCCGCCGUAA